GAUGAAGAACGUAGCGAAAUGCGAUAAGUAAUGUGAAUUGCAGAAUUCAGUGAAUCAUCGAAUCUUUGAACGCACAUUGCGCCCGCUAGUAUUCUGGCGGGCAUGCCUGUUCGAGCGUCAUUUCAACCAUCAAGCCCUGUUUAGGCUUGUGUUGGGGCCCUGCGGCUGCCGCAGCCCCCUAAAUGCAGUGGCGGGCUCGUUGUCACUCCGAGCGCAGUAGCGUAUCUCGCUCUGGGCGUGGCGGCGGGUGCUAGCCGUGAAACACCCACUAAGGUUGACCUCGGAUCAAGUAAGACUACCCGCUGAACUUAAGCAUAUCAAUAAGCGGAGGA
rnacentral:misc_RNA from 1 species